CCACAGGCCACCUGGUUGUGAGUGAACGGGGGGAAAGAGGGGAUAACCGACAGCGGAUAAUGACAUGAUGGUUCCCGUUGUAGAGCGAGCAGAGGGGGGCUCCAGGUGUCUUUAAUGACCAGGGGGAGAAAAGCAUCUCCGCACCGGGCUUUACAGUGGAGCAGAGUACGCCACCGGAGUGACAACAAAACAAACAAGGUUUCUCAAACAAGCCGUCGGAAUUUCCUUCAGUCCAAGAGGGGGGCUUUGCAGCACAGUCCAGGAUGCUAUCCCCCAGAUGGUGACUUCCACAGGUAAUAAAGGACCCAAGUAUAAACCAUUGCCCAAAAGGUGGAUAAGGACAUGUUGUUCAUGUGGUGUAGCUGAUCUGUGUUCUGCACCCUGGGGU